CCUUCCCCCGAGCGAUACGGUCGCUGAUUGGACGCCGAUGGUGUCAGUCAAACGUUGGCUCUUCCCCACGGUGACGUCUCCAUAUCAUCAAAGUAACCAGCCAGUCUGUCACGAACACAAAAGGAACAACAAAGACUUGGGGAUACGAUAGUCCUCCACAUCUCAAGACCCAACUUCUCACCUGGCGACAUUAUCCACCCUGCGAGCCGUGCAACAAGUUAACAGUAAUACGGAGACUACAGCAAUGCUAUGAACAUCGUCAUUAUAAAACCCACCAACAGACACUUAAUAACAAGCAGCGUUGUGGUCAAAUCCGAUUCUGGUGUUGUAUCUAUUGUCGGGCCGCCUUCCCAUCUCGGUUACCAGGACACGCGGUGCCGUCUUUGUUUUGGAUGGGCUGGCUUUUUAAUGGCACUUCUGCUUGGAGCAAUACUCUGCUGUGCAACCACCGAAUUACUUGCAGACGUGAAUAAUGUAGACGGCUAAGAAGAUGUAAUCCAAUUCCCAAAUUGACUUGUUGCCAAGUGAUAAAGCCACGUCUACUCAGUCGAGAAACCCUACAGUCUAACACCCAUGUGUUCAGACAAAGUAAGAUCAGGUGUUGUUUUUUUUGUGUGUCUGUCGAGACAAGAACAAAGAAGUGCAACAGACUUUACUUGUCUUCCACACACACACACACACACACACACACACACACACACACACACACACACACACACACACACACACACACACACACACACACACACACACACACACACACACACACACACACACACACACACACACACACAGAGAGAGAGAGAGAGAAAAUACAGAGAGAGAAAAUACACGGUGUGCGUCAUAACAAUCUGUCAGUUUCUUUUGUGGCGAUGGGGGCGCCAUACCAGUAUGUUGUCUCUUGUGAGUGUGUUUACCUUUCCACAGACCAACUGCAUGCUAUGAGUAGACCACAUUUGUGGUACGGUUGCAGUGGUUCGAAUCACAGUUGUAUACUGUGAAGUCUAAACUCUCCCUGGUCGGUUAUGGAAAUGGCCCAUAAUGAGAAUAUUGGUCCCCUUGACGUGUAGUCCUCCUCAGCAGUGUGAUACUGGUGGUGGCUGGCUGCUUCCUGGUGUGCCGUGCGGAAGCUCCUUUGUUCACACUGCUGCCUUCUGGCUGCUCUCGGGCCGCCACUGCUUUCCUGUGAAAGCACCCAGCUUCAAAUUGGAAAGUUAAAAGUUGUCCGCAUGUCAUUAUGUGUAUGUUAUUUUCGUCCAAAUAAAAGCCUGAGCCCUUGCCUGACCUGUAGUUGUUUUUAACAAAGUGUAC
ensembl:lncRNA